UAUCCUACGGGGGGCCGCAGUGCGGCCUCUUGGUCCAUGGGCGCGAGCCUGAACCAGCCAAGUAGCGUGAAGGAUGACUGCCCUACGGGUUGUAAACUUCUUUUAUAAAGGAAUAAAGUGAGGCACGUGUGCCUUUUUGUAUGUACUUUAUGAAUAAGGAUCGGCUAACUCCGUGCCAGCAGCCGCGGUAAUACGGAGGAUCCGAGCGUUAUCCGGAUUUAUUGGGUUUAAAGGGAGCGUAGAUGGGUUGUUAAGUCAGUUGUGAAAGUUUGCGGCUCAACCGUAAAAUU
rnacentral:rRNA from 1 species